UCGCACGUACGACUGUAUCUCAUCAGAACCAAAAACUAAAGCUCUCGAUGCAGGUCUCUAAUUCCCUCUCCAUGUUCUUUGCCUUUUGAGAACUUGGAUGCGAAAGGGACGAUGAUGUUUGGCUCUCCUUGACAGGGAAAGGAUCAUGCCUUAUGCAUGAGACCACCAAAAUUGUGAUUACAGCUCCAAAGGAUCCAAUCAUUUGAGACUUGAGAGAUGCAAGUUGUUAGAGAAGGAGAA
rnacentral:lncRNA from 1 species